rnacentral:rRNA from 1 species
CCUAACACAUGCAAGUCGAACGGUAACAGGAAGAAGCUUGCUUCUUUGCUGACGAGUGGCGGACGGGUGAGUAAUGUCUGGGAAACUGCCUGAUGGAGGGGGAUAACUACUGGAAACGGUAGCUAAUACCGCAUAACGUCGCAAGACCAAAGAGGGGGACCUUCGGGCCUCUUGCCAUCAGAUGUGCCCAGAUGGGAUUAGCUAGUAGGUGGGGUAACGGCUCACCUAGGCGACGAUCCCUAGCUGGUCUGAGAGGAUGACCAGCCACACUGGAACUGAGACACGGUCCAGACUCCUACGGGAGGCAGCAGUGGGGAAUAUUGCACAAUGGGCGCAAGCCUGAUGCAGCCAUGCCGCGUGUAUGAAGAAGGCCUUCGGGUUGUAAAGUACUUUCAGCGGGGAGGAAGGGAGUAAAGUUAAUACCUUUGCUCAUUGACGUUACCCGCAGAAGAAGCACCGGCUAACUCCGUGCCAGCAGCCGCGGUAAUACGGAGGGUGCAAGCGUUAAUCGGAAUUACUGGGCGUAAAGCGCACGCAGGCGGUUUGUUAAGUCAGAUGUGAAAUCCCCGGGCUCAACCUGGGAACUGCAUCUGAUACUGGCAAGCUUGAGUCUCGUAGAGGGGGGUAGAAUUCCAGGUGUAG